rnacentral:rRNA from 1 species
GACGAACGCUGGCGGCGUGCUUAACACAUGCAAGUCGAACGGUAAGGCCCUUUCGGGGGGACCCGAGGGGCGACCGGGGGAGUAACACGUGGGUGAACUGCCCUGCCCUUUGGGACAAGCCGGGGAAACUGGGGCUACUACCGGAUAGGACUCCGCGAAGCAUGUCGUGUGGUGGGAAGCUUUUGCGGCGUGGGAUGGGUCCGCGGCCUAUCAGCUGGUUGGCGGGGUGAUGGGCUACCAAGGCGCCGAAGGGUAGCCCACCUGGGAGUGUGUCCGGCUACCAUACGCCUGCGAGACGGCCCAGUCUCCAACAGUGGGCAGUAGUGGGGAGUAUUGUCCAGUGGUCGCGAGCCUGUUGAGGCGACGCCGCGUGGGUGAUGACGGCCUGCGGGUUGUAAACCCCUUUCGGCACAGACGAAGCGUAAGUGACGGUACGUGCAGAAGAAGCACCGGCCAACUACGUG